rnacentral:rRNA from 1 species
GUUCCUACGGGGCGCAGCAGUGGGGAAUAUUGGGCAAUGGAGGAAACUCUUACCCAGCAAUGCCGCGUGAAUGAAGAAGGUCUUCGGAUUGUAAAGUUCUUUAAUUGGGGACGAAAAAAAUGACGGUACCCAAGGAAUAAGCCCCGGCUAACUACGUGCCAGCAGCCGCGGUAAUACGUAUGGUGCAAGCGUUAUCCGGAUUUACUGGGUGUAAAGGGAGCGCAGGCGGCACGGCAAGCCUGAUGUGAAAGCCCGCGGCCCACCCGCGGGACUGCCUUGGGAACUACCGGGCUGGAGUGC